AGGGGAAUAUUGCACAAUGGGCGGAAGCCCGAUGCAGCGACGCCGCGUGGGGGAUGAAGGCCUUCGGGUUGUAAACUCCUUUCGACAGGGACGAAGCUUUUGUGACGGUACCUGUAUAAGAAGCACCGGCUAACUACGUCCCAUCAGCCGCGGUAAUACGUAGGGUGCGAGCGUGGUCCGGAAUUACUGGGCGUAAAGAGCUCGUAGGUGGUUUGUCGCGUCGUCUGUGAAAUUCCGGGGCUUAACUCCGGGCGUGCAGGCGAUACGGGCUGACGUGAUUGCUGUAGGGGAGACUGGAAUUCCUGGUGUAGCGGUGAAAUGCACAGAUAUCAGGGGGAACACCGAUGGCGAAGGCAGGUCUCUGGGCAGUAACUGACGCUGAGGAGCGAAAGCAUGGGUAGCGAACAGG
rnacentral:rRNA from 1 species